UUUGGGCCGUUGCUAUGGGUUACGGGAUUACGGCCGGCGACAGCCUUCUCUCUCUCUCUCUCUCUCUCCCUCCCUGACAAACAGCUCCCAGCAAAGCUCAGGCACAUGGAGGGCGCCUGGAACACACAUUCCCCGGGCGGGAGGGGGGAAGCGAGCGAGCGAGGGAGCGAACUGCUGCUGCUUGCUUCCUUGCUUGCUGCUUGCUGCUGAGCCAGCGCCCUGCGCGCGCUGGCGAUUCCGCGUGCGGCUUUUGCAGCUGCGGGGGGAAAAUGUCCAGCAUGCGGGGUUGAAAACAGGGGGGCGGGUGGAAGAAAAAAGUGGAUCGAGGCCUUGAGGGAGAGAGAUAGCAACCAGGGGAGGGAGACGAGAAGCUGCAGAUGAUCCCAAAAACCAAGCCAGUAGCGAGGAACGGAGGAAAUCGUCGUUUCAAACAAGCAAAGUCAUGGAUUGCUUCAGCCACAGAAUAUUUCGUAUUUCCAGAUACACAGGCCUCAAUAUCAUCAGGAUUCAGCUGUGUUUGUACAAAUAAAUGAAGUCUACUGUCUGAAAGCAAAAUUGGAUUCUGGAGUACCCUUUAAAAAAAUACAAAAAAUUCAUCAACAAA